GGUCCGUUGGCGCAGUGGUCAGCGCGCCUGCUCAUGGAGCGGGAGGUCGUGAGUUCGAUCCUCACACGGGCUU